rnacentral:tRNA from 1 species
GCAUCCCUAGCUCAACUGGCAGAGCAGGCGCCUCUUAAGCGCAAGGUUCUGGGUUCGAUCCCCGGGGGGUGCA